CAUUAUUUCCAAGUAUUGUAGGAUGCAUUGAUGGCACCCACAUAAAGAUACAAUCUCCAGGAGGAGAAGAUGGUGAGAUAUUCAGAAACAGGAAAGGCUAUUUCUCUAUAAAUGUCCAAGUUGUGGGAGAUUCUGACCUUAAGGUGCAAGAUAUUGUAGCACGAUGGCCAGGAUCAACACAUGACAUGACUAUUUAUUCAAAUAGUAGAAUACGUGCUAGGCUAGAAGGUGGAGAAUUUAGAAAUGGAAUUAUUCUAGGUGAUAGUGGUUAUGGUGUAGGUAAAUAUCUGCUAACACCAUUACAAAAUCCAGAAACUGCAGCAGAAAAAUUGUACAAUAAGGCCCAUAUCACAACACGAAACUCUGUUGAACGCUUGUUUGGUGUAUGGAAAAGGCGAUUUCCCAUAUUAGCAUAUGGCAUUAGGUUAAAAUUAGCCACUGCUUACGCUGUAAUUGUAGCAUCAGCAGUACUACAUAAUAUAAGUUUUUCGACAAUGUUUUUGUAACUGGAAACUAUUGAUAAUAGUACUUCCUUUUCGCGGCAACUAUAAUUAAGAGAACGCAUUCUCUUUUUCUUUUCCACGUCCAUUCUUAUUCGGAGUUGUAAAAAGUACAAAUUUCGCACACUAACUUUGAAAUGUCAAAACCAAUUAUUAAAAAAAGAUUAUCGGUAAUACAGUUUCCCAUUUUCACCGAUUUAGUGCGUUGUUGCCGAGUUUAUUUUUGCUUUACUAAACUUUCUUAAAUAUAUUGCGGUGCAACGGAUUACAUUUAAAGCUUGGCUUAAAAAUUAAAGGACGCUUAGUUAAGCAAAGCUUAACUCA